rnacentral:lncRNA from 1 species
AAAUAAAGUAUCUAAUUUACCCUUCUGCUUUUAAAACCCCUAAACGACGUCUACUCAUCCGUUUAUUCCCUAAAUCACGCCUCUAUUUUCUCUAAUUUGGCAUUCUUGAUUUUUGAAACUAGAUAUCAAUUCAAAUUUAAAAUAAACCUUCGAUUCCUAUAUACGUUUCUCUAGAAAUCACCGCUCAUCUUUUAUUAGAUGGUUUAACCAUCGGUUUUGGUUUUGGGUGUUUGGAAGAUUAAUUUCCUUUUUAUGUUUGUGAUUCUUGCAUAAUUGUCUACAUAUUUGGGCUUGAGGAAGAAAGUGAAAGACUCAGUUCGUUUUCUUCAGUUAGAUCAUCAACAACAUGCUUGGUACUUCCUUGGUACGAUCUUUUUAUCUACUUUCUUCUCUCAUAAAAGGAUCCUUGUAAUCAGUUUUUGAUUCUAAUAUAUCAACAACCACAAUUUUGAUAACCAAUACCAAAUUUGGAAACUUUGGAAGUUCAUAAACGAAAACCUAGAGUCCUAUGUUAAUAAGUUUGGUUCGAAUUUGGAGGAAUAAGAAAAAGAAAUGCAAGAUUUUGUUAAUAUUUUUUAUCUUUACACUAACUCAAGGCUAUCAAACCACCAUCAUUAGACACACCAAUAACAAUUACCUCUUGAUGAGGAUGAACCAAUAGUCAUCUUUUGUGUGAUGUAAAGAUAGUUUAGUUGAAAAUAAGUUGUUUUUCAAAUGGGGCAUUUUGUUAUCUUAUUUCCUUAUUUCAACCUUUUAGUCCGUUUCUUUACACAAUUCUUCACUUUUCUUUGUCCAGAUUUGGUUCAUCCUUAUUGAUUCACAAGAAGGUGUUCGACAUAAACAUAUCAAUUUUUGAACCUCUAUAUGCCUUUUCAGAUACAUAUGGAGAAAGAACGACUAAUAUCAAUUUUUUAAUGUCGGCUAUUUUAAUUUUUUGAACCUCAGUUUACAAAUUGCAAAAUCAUACAUGAGCUUUAAGCUUACUACCAUACAACGAAUCCUUCCUUCUAUAACUUGAUGCCCUAAUCAGCUCAUUUAGCUAAAAAUCAUCUAUAUAUAGGGUUUAUGCCUCAUAUCUCUUCAAGAUAAUAAGUUCCUUAAUCUCUAAAAUCAUGAAAUUUAUAAGUUUCUUGCUUCAGUUUGAAGUGUUAAGAAAAUCUGCAAGUUAAUAAUCUGGAACCAACUACGGUUUUUGUAGGGGCUUCAAAUGGUGAAAAAGGAAAAGAUACAACACAUUAGCAUGUAUCUCAUGCCUGGUGCAACUAGAAUAAAGAAACUUGACAAAAACAUAAGAAAUUGUAGCUAUGAAGCCACAACCAUAGAAUUUUAUCACUGCACUUUUUGAUGGUUGUUUUAGGAUUUGGUGUUAUUAUUGUUAUAUUUUGUUAAACAAUUUCCUACAGCUUUAGUCAAAAGGAUGACACCUUUUGUUGCGUGGUCCAUUGGGAUGCAGGGGCGAUCCUCAUGUCUCUUCCUCUUGUCAGUCUUUGUAAGUUAAUUUGACAAGAUUUUCAUUUUUUAUAAAAGUCAUUUCUUCACUAAUUUUUUUUUCUUGAUUUGGAAUAAGAACCAAGCCCAGGCAUUACAAUUAGCAAUUAAAAUACAAUUCCAAAUGUAUUAUUAUCUACUAAUUCCUCAUUUUAGUUAGAUCCUAUUUUAUCCAUGUAUCCUAACAGAGGAGAAAAUAAGAAAUAUAGCCAUUUACUUUUGUUUGUUUCUCAAAUUAGCAUCUUACUUUACCUAUAUCUUGAUAUUAAU